UUAAUACUAUAAGUUUAAUACUUAGAAGUAUAAGUCUAGCAAAAUGAGAAAAACACAGUUUUUUAAGUUUACUGCUUAAGUACAAGUAUUAAACAAAAUUAUAUAACUCAUUUGCCAUGUCCUCUUAAAGUUCACUAUCUAUGUCGUCCUCUUGAAGUUUAUCACCUACAUCAUCCUCAUCACUUGCCUUGUCCUCUUGAAAUUCUUCACUUACGUCUUCGUCUUCUUCAUCAUCUUCAUUGAUACCUUACUGAAUAAGAAAUUGAAAAA
rnacentral:lncRNA from 1 species